CGGACGGGGUGAGUAAUGUCUGGGAAACGGCCUGAUGGAGGGGGGUAACUACUGGAAACGGUAGCUAAUACCGCAUAACGUCGCAAGACCAAAGAGGGGGACCUUAGGGCCUCUUGCCAUCGGAUGUGCCCAGAUGGGAUUAGCUUGUUGGUGGGGUAACGGCUCACCAAGGCGACGAUCCCUAGCUGGUCUGAGAGGAUGACCAGCCACACUGGAACUGAGACACGGUCCAG
rnacentral:rRNA from 1 species